rnacentral:tRNA from 1 species
GUAAAAUAAAGAUGUUCUAAUUUGAAAUUAGAAUUACGUGUCUUUAGUGACACAUUUUACU